rnacentral:sRNA from 1 species
CUGGAAAGCAUCGUUUCCCUAGUAGAAUGUCACCAGCGAGGGAGGAAGGGAAAACAUACAGCUUCCAAUACCCAAGGCACUGAAGAGCUGGCAGAGCCUCAAGGGGAGCCUCACCAUUGUCAACCCAGGGGCAACCCACCAAUCAGAACUCGAUCCGCCACAACCUGUCCCUGCACAGCAAGUUCAUCAAGGUUCACAACGAGGCCACCGGCAAAAGCUCUUGGUGGAUGCUGAACCCUGAGGGAGGCAAGAGCGGCAAAGCCCCCCGCCGCCGGGCCGCCUCCAUGGAUAGCAGCAGCAAGCUGC